rnacentral:rRNA from 1 species
CCUACGGGGGGCAGCAGUGGGGAAUUUUGGACAAUGGGCGAAAGCCUGAUCCAGCCAUGCCGCGUGAGUGAAGAAGGCCUUCGGGUUGUAAAGCUCUUUCGGCCGGGAAGAAAUCGUGUGGGCUAAUACCCUGCAUGGAUGACGGUACCGGAAUAAGAAGCACCGGCUAACUACGUGCCAGCAGCCGCGGUAAUACGUAGGGUGCGAGCGUUAAUCGGAAUUACUGGGCGUAAAGCGUGCGCAGGCGGUUUGGUAAGACAGGCGUGAAAUCCCCG